AUGCACCCUUCUGCGUCCUUUCCAUUUGCUGCGCCGGUGAUGGGGUUCUCCUUGUUCUGUUUACGCCAUCUUUUCCUUUUCUCCACAAUAUCUUCUCACCCCUCAGAUAUGGGGAGAGGUGAAGAACAAGAAAGAGAGGAUCUGAAGGUAGUAGGAGAAACCAACAACGAGGCCAACUUCAUGGGUCGUGUGCUUUGCGCACACCUCAGGGGAGGAGCAGCAGUGAGGAGGAGAAGAGGGCUGGGAAAGGGGGGAAGAGAGGAGGAGGGCUCACCGGAUGACGAGCAGACAUCGGCGAGGUGUGCAGGCAGCGGGGGGAGAGGAGAAGCCAGCGCUGCGCCGUCCUCUGCUUAG
rnacentral:rRNA from 1 species